rnacentral:lncRNA from 1 species
GAUUCAAAUACUUUUUGACAAAUCUAUAAGUUGUAACAUCUCUCGUGUGCGUGACCUCCUUCAAGCUCAAAUCCAAUAAUUUGAUCUUAAAAUCCCCCUCUUCUCGUAAAUCAUAUGCACUAAAGCUCUGUAUUCCAUAUUAUAAUGUUUCAGCACAUUUUCAAUUCCAAGUCUAAAAGAAGCAUAUUUUCAAUUCCAUGAAAGAAUUGACGACUAUCACCAAAUGGUUGCAAUAUGACUCCAAUCCUAGUUUCCUAUGGAUCAAUAAAAUAGACUCUAGAGGAAACUUCAUUCUUUUUUUUUGGUCAACGAGGGAACUUCAUUCUUGUAACCUUGAUAAAAUGGUCAUGGAGCUGUAGUUUGGGCCUUUAUAACACAAUAUAAGAAUUUUUUAACACAAUAAGAAAAAGAAAAUGAAUGAUCAUAUGUAUAAUGAUGCAUAUGUAAAAAUGAAUGAUCGUUAUCAUGGCAAGUAUUUAAAAAUUGAGAUAUCAUAGGUAUACUUUCAGUUUUUAGACAAUUUAAGAAAACAAAAU